UUAUUUUUUGAGACGGAUCUCUUCACUGAGCUCGCACGCAUCUAGGCUGGCUGGCCCAGGGCCUCAGGGAUCCUUUUAUUUCUGGCCCCUCACCCCAGUGGUUAUACAUGCAAACCUGACUUCUUACACGGCUUCUAGGGGCUCGAAUUCAGGUCCUCAUACUUGCAUGACACUCUACCAACUGAGUGAUCUUUUCAGCACUUCGAGAUUUAGAAACACGUUAGAAUACACUCAGAAAGUAUGUCUCCUUCAGCCUUUGUGUCAGUGCCGGCAAAAGGCUGGCCAAUUUCAAUAUGGUGUUUUAUUUACAGCGCUCUUACUUUACCAGUUGUGGGGUCUCCCGAGUUCUGCCUCAGCCUUUGUUGAAGCUGGCACUGGAGAUUUGCACCACCACACCUGCCUUUGAGUUAAAACUCUCUUCUGACCUUCACCACUAGUCCCUGGGUGGCUAUGCUGACUAGAGAGUCAUCUCUCACGAAACCAGUUCUUAAACUGCUUCACCUCAUUUUUCCCCAGAAUCUGGCAGUAGGCUUAAAAAGUGCCUUCUAGGCCACAACGUUGCUUUGUAAAGAAAGGAUUUCAAGUAGAGUUGUGCUUCUUCUCAAGAAAACCAGCAAUUUGAUUUUUUUUUAAAAUUAGUGACAACAGCAUUUCAGAAGCUUUGGGGAGCCAAGAAAAGACUAUUGGUGAUUUGCUGAGGGUUGGUCUUGUGCUGUAAUGUAUUCAAAUACUGGCCCC
rnacentral:lncRNA from 1 species